GGGGGGGCACGGGAGAGAGGGGACGGACGAAUCGGAAAUACAUCUGCGCCAUGUCUUCUCCUCCUCCUCCCCCUGCUCCUCCUCCCCGCGUGUUAUUUUUAUUUUAUUUUUAUUCCUUCCUGCUCGACCGCCACGAGGUGUCGACUGCCAGGAGUUGCGCAGAUGUCAUGCGGCAGGCACCACGCGGAGCCGCGCACAGACCCGGCUCUCCCGACUUGAACCUUCGCUUCCUUGCCCUGCCCCCCCCCAUUCAUCAUCAUCAGCAAGCACCGCAGGUGGGGACAGGAGAGAACCAGGAGGAGAAAUGAGGAGAGAGGAGGAUCGACACGAGUGAAGGAGAAUGCUUCGAAAUGCACAACACGGACACACACUCCAAGUAGCAGCAACUCUAUGGCUAAAGAAGCAGUCGACGUUUCCGCCUUCGACCCUUCCUCAUGCACUGGCUGACAAGAGGCAGGCGAUGGAGGAGGACGCUUGGGCGUGGCGGGAGAGGAGCCUCCUACCAGGCUGGUUUCACGUGGUGGCUUGAUGUGAAAGUGCGAUUCUAGCACCAUUUGAAAUCAGUGUUGGUGGGCAGAGCACGUGCGCCCACACCUGUGCACGGUGCACACCUGUAGAGUGCCAUACACCUGCACGCAAUGCCAUACACCUGUACACCAUGUCAUACACCUGUACACCAUGUCAUACACCUGUACGCAAUGCCAUACAACUAUACACAGUACCAUAUACCUGUAAACUAUAAACGUAUACAGGAUACUAUACACCUGUACAUAGUGGCAUAGACCUGUACACAAUUCCAUACACUUGUAAACUAUAAACUUGUACACAAUACCAUACGCCUACAACACAUUACACCUGGACAAUAUUGACCGACAACACAAUUUACCUGCUCACGUCACACUUGUUACCUACUGCCGCUGCUGCUGCCGCCAGACCACGUGGUAUGAGAGACAUCCGAUGACACAUUCUGUCCGGACCGUUAAUUCGCGAGCCCCGUUCCGAUAGGCAGCAGCUGUAGGAGACCGAGUAAUUCGCCAGAGAAGAACCCUCCGAGCAAGACUCCGACACCCGACUCGUUCACUCGGGACCCGAUCCCACACUGGCUGGCAAAACCGGUUUAAUCGGCGAAGCUGCCGACUUGUAAUCCGGUUUUAUCGGAUACCCCGAGUGCAGGGUGGAGGGCCUAGAGAGCGGUCUCCACGAAUCCGCUGACCAGGGAAGGGGAAGAGAAGACCUAAGUCAGAUGUUGGGAGACUUUCAGGGCAGAUCUCUGGGUCUCUGUGUGAAUCUGUGGGUGUCUUUGUGUCGGUCUAUGGGGCUCUGUGAGUAUCACUGUGGGUGACUCUCUUUUCUCUCUGAAUAAGGCCAGAGGGAGGGAGACUGUUGGGGCACAUCUCUGUGGUUCUCUCUGCGAGUCUCUGUGCGGUGGUCCAUCCCUUCGCUGUUAAGGGCCAUUGCCCGAAACGUCUAUUAUACAUGUUCUUGUGUCGAAUGUGUUGAUUGUUAUUUGAGUGUCGUCAGUCGGGGGGUUAAGUUUCAAGUUGAUUUUGUUUGACCAGCUGAGAAUUCAAGAGGCCAGGGAGUCUCAUUUGUCGAGUGACUCGGGGUGGUGAGUUGGGGUGCGGCAGAGGCUGGCGGGGGGGGGGGGGGUCCCGUGGGCUGUGCCCGACUCGCGUGACCGAUUUCCCUUGGUGUUUAGAUGUGGAUGUGGUCUCUAGCACCAUUAGAAAUCGGUUAUGCGGGCGGGAAUCGUCACCCACGUCGCCAUCGUCAGCUGCUACAGCGGUCGCACGAGGUGCAAGGAGAUGGGGGGGGGGUAUAGAGGCGAGCCGCGGGGAGCGGUGGCGCAGCGGUUAGCGCGCUGCGAAGCCGGCGACCCGAGGUCGACUCUCGAUCACGGUCAACAUCAACGCAGAUGAUUAUUUAAACUGGACCCGGCCAUCCCCUAGAUCGACUCGGUUCGAAAUGAGUACCUGGUGUAUAAACAUCGCCACUGGGGAGUCGCAGAGGCGGCCGGGCGUGGUGCUGCCCCCACCCAACUCCUCGUGCGCACAGUGCCGGCCUUCGGUUACUCGCUAACAGCACUCGCCCCAACAGUCUGUCAAGGCUGUAAGAGGUGUGUUAGUCAUGGUGCAAUAUAAUACUAAAUAAAUAUAUUGUUGUACA